rnacentral:rRNA from 1 species
AUGCGAUGUGUUCGAACCCGACGCGCCUUGGCCGCUGACGGCAACCUUUUUUGUUGGAACCAGUAUGUGUUUUUGCUUAAACUAGCUAGUUGUUUUGCUACAAUCAUCCAUCGAGAGUUUUUUCUGCUGACUUUGGUUUGCUGGAAGCAGCUUUAUUUUUUGCUGGAACCUAGUACAUUUUUGCUUCAACCGAUAAAUGAAAGAUUUUUGUUGCUUUCAGGUUUUUGUUGCUGGGCACUUUUACCCGCGGUGAGCCAGAGACGCAGAGAUGCUGCAACCAGCCACCCGAGUGCUACCACAGUUUUUGCUGGAUCUAGCUAUUGUUUCUGCUUCCACCAUGUUCUGUUUUUUCUGGAACAAAGCGCACAAGAUUUUUGCUACCAUCGGCUCUUUGCUCGACCGCCGUCGUCAUUGAUGCUGCAACCGGUGAUCUGCAGCGCCGGCGAGGAAUGGCCUUUUGUUUUUGCGGUUGGCGCACAUGAGCUUAACAUGGAUGCAACAAGGAGCGAUGAAAAAGUUGGGAGCCGGCGGCGACAUCGAUCGGUGGCCAACAGCGACGAGGGCGUCCGGCAGCGGCGACUGGCGACAAGGGCGGCCGGCAGCAGCGACCGGGGGUGA